AGAGUUUGAUCAUGGCUCAGAUUGAACGCUGGCGGCAGGCCUAACACAUGCAAGUCGAGCGGUAGCACAGAGAGCUUGCUCUCGGGUGACGAGCGGCGGACGGGUGAGUAAUGUCUGGGAAACUGCCUGAUGGAGGGGGAUAACUACUGGAAACGGUAGCUAAUACCGCAUAAUGUCGCAAGACCAAAGUGGGGGACCUUCGGGCCUCAUGCCAUCAGAUGUGCCCAGAUGGGAUUAGCUAGUAGGUGGGGUAACGGCUCACCUAGGCGACGAUCCCUAGCUGGUCUGAGAGGAUGACCAGCCACACUGGAACUGAGACACGGUCCAGACUCCUACGGGAGGCAGCAGUGGGGAAUAUUGCACAAUGGGCGCAAGCCUGAUGCAGCCAUGCCGCGUGUGUGAAGAAGGCCUUCGGGUUGUAAAGCACUUUCAGCGGGGAGGAAGGCGGUGAGGUUAAUAACCUCAUCGAUUGACGUUACCCGCAGAAGAAGCACCGGCUAACUCCGUGCCAGCAGCCGCGGUAAUACGGAGGGUGCAAGCGUUAAUCGGAAUUACUGGGCGUAAAGCGCACGCAGGCGGUCUGUCAAGUCGGAUGUGAAAUCCCCGGGCUCAACCUGGGAACUGCAUUCGAAACUGGCAGGCUAGAGUCUUGUAGAGGGGGGUAGAAUUCCAGGUGUAGCGGUGAAAUGCGUAGAGAUCUGGAGGAAUACCGGUGGCGAAGGCGGCCCCCUGGACAAAGACUGACGCUCAGGUGCGAAAGCGUGGGGAGCAAACAGGAUUAGAUACCCUGGUAGUCCACGCCGUAAACGAUGUCGAUUUGGAGGUUGUGCCCUUGAGGCGUGGCUUCCGGAGCUAACGCGUUAAAUCGACCGCCUGGGGAGUACGGCCGCAAGGUUAAAACUCAAAUGAAUUGACGGGGGCCCGCACAAGCGGUGGAGCAUGUGGUUUAAUUCGAUGCAACGCGAAGAACCUUACCUGGUCUUGACAUCCACAGAACUUUCCAGAGAUGGAUUGGUGCCUUCGGGAACUGUGAGACAGGUGCUGCAUGGCUGUCGUCAGCUCGUGUUGUGAAAUGUUGGGUUAAGUCCCGCAACGAGCGCAACCCUUAUCCUUUGUUGCCAGCGGUUCGGCCGGGAACUCAAAGGAGACUGCCAGUGAUAAACUGGAGGAAGGUGGGGAUGACGUCAAGUCAUCAUGGCCCUUACGACCAGGGCUACACACGUGCUACAAUGGCAUAUACAAAGAGAAGCGACCUCGCGAGAGCAAGCGGACCUCAUAAAGUAUGUCGUAGUCCGGAUUGGAGUCUGCAACUCGACUCCAUGAAGUCGGAAUCGCUAGUAAUCGUAGAUCAGAAUGCUACGGUGAAUACGUUCCCGGGCCUUGUACACACCGCCCGUCACACCAUGGGAGUGGGUUGCAAAAGAAGUAGGUAGCUUAACCUUCGGGAGGGCGCUUACCACUUUGUGAUUCAUGACUGGGGUGAAGUCGUAACAAGGUAACCGUAGGGGAACCUGCGGUUGGAUCACCU
rnacentral:rRNA from 11 species